GAUGAACGCUGGCGGCGUGCAUAAUACAUGCAAGUCGAGCGAACGGACGAGAAGCUUGCUUCUCUGAUGUUAGCGGCGGACGGGUGAGUAACACGUGGAUAACCUACCUAUAAGACUGGGAUAACUUCGGGAAACCGGAGCUAAUACCGGAUGAUAUUUUGAACCGCAUGGUUCAAAAGUGAAAGACGGUCUUGCUGUCACUUAUAGAUGGAUCCGCGCUGCAUUAGCUAGUUGGUAAGGUAACGGCUUACCAAGGCAACGAUGCAUAGCCGACCUGAGAGGGUGAUCGGCCACACUGGAACUGAGACACGGUCCAGACUCCUACGGGAGGCAGCAGUAGGGAAUCUUCCGCAAUGGGCGAAAGCCUGACGGAGCAACGCCGCGUGAGUGAUGAAGGUCUUCGGAUCGUAAAACUCUGUUAUUAGGGAAGAACAUAUGUGUAAGUAACUGUGCACAUCUUGACGGUACCUAAUCAGAAAGCCACGGCUAACUACGUG
rnacentral:rRNA from 1 species